UACGUAGGGUGCGAGCGUUAAUCGGAAUUACUGGGCGUAAAGCGUGCGCAGGCGGUUCGUUAAGUCAGCUGUGAAAGCCCCGGGCUCAACCUGGGAAUUGCGGUUGAAACUGGCGAUCUAGAAUCUGGCAGAGGGGGGUGGAAUUCCACGUGUAGCAGUGAAAUGCGUAGAGAUGUGGAGGAACACCGAUGGCGAAGGCAGCCCCCUGGGCUGAGAUUGACGCUCAGGCACGAAAGCGUGGGGAGCAAACAGG
rnacentral:rRNA from 1 species